GGCCACACCUGCAGCAUAUGGAAGUUCCUAGGUAAGGAGUCAAAUUAGAGCUGUAGCUGCUGGCCUACACCACAGCCAUGGCGAUGUGGGAUCCAAGCUGUGCCUUCAACCUACACCACAGCUCACAGCAACACCAGAUCCUUAAAUCACUGAACAAGGCCAGGGAUCAAACCUGCAUCCUCAUGAAUACUAGUCAGGUUCAUAACCCCCCGGUUACUACCAUAUAGAGGGUGUUGAGUGAAAACUUGUAAGUCUAUUAAAAUUUCUAGAUUCCCAACAUAGAAAACAUAUAGAAGGAGUCAGGGGGACACACAGUUAGUAGUGGCUUGAGCUGAGAGCCUUGUUCCCAGGACUGACAUGUUUGGUUUCUAUUUAAUAAACUGCCAUCAUGGGCUUUACUAUUUGGGGAUAUUUACAUUCAUACUAAUGAGUUGCGAUCUUUUGGUUGUUGUUUUCUUUUUACAGCUGUACCUGCGGCACAUGAAAGUUCCCAGGCUAAGGGCUGAAUCAGAGCUGCAGCUGCAGGCCCACACCACGGCCACAAGAACACCAGAGCCAAGGCACAUUUGUGAUCCAUGCCACAGCUUAAGGCAACGCCAGAUCCUUAACCCACUGAGCAAGGCCAGGGAUCAAACUGGCAUCUUCACGGAGACUUCUGCGAGGUCUUAACAAGCUGAGCCACAAUGGGAACUCCAAGAGUUGUGAUCUCAAUAAAGCAGCUAUUCCAAUUGGUGUGCCAGCCCUCUACAGGUUACAAAAGAUGCCUCCUCUGGCAAGACAUCCCACCCCCGAUGCCUCAAGGCUGGGCCAGACCAAACCACUUUAGAUGAUUAUUAUUAAAACUUCUAGGAAAAAAACCCCACAUAGUUCCCCCUGCAAAUUAUUUUUAAAAAUCCCUCUGUUGAAAAGCUUUUCUUACCUACCCUAAAUCCUUUGUGCUGCACUGUCAGCCCACCUCCUCCUGUUUAGAUCUCAGGAGAGCUUACCAUGAGACUCUAAAAAAGAACCCUCUUAUGCUUCAAUAACAGCAUUAAAUCACCCUUAAGUCCACUCUUCUCCAGGGUAAACAAUCCAAAUUUCUUUAGCCUUCCUCCAUAGAUCUUCUUUUACAAGCUUUUAAUCACCGCGGUGGCACGCCUCCAGACCAGGCUUUCUCCAAGUCCCUCCAUCCUACUGCUGUUGUAAAGCUUAGUGCUGCCGACAGCUUCAUGUGCCGAGUGCUACCCGAGCCUUACCAGGAAUAAUAUCCCCUUCAUCUCGUGUAAUGGCCUCAAGGAAACUUGAAUCAGCAUGACGGGGAUUCUCAAAAUCAGGAAUUUGUUAUGUUUAACUUAAAUUGCCUACGGCUUUUAUUCUUUAAAAUAUGGCAGUGGGCUGAGGAUUACGGUUUCAGUGACGUUGUGUGGCAUUUUAUGCUUUCAUAUAUAUCUCAUCCCACAUUAAGGCCAUGGAUGAACAGUACUACUGGUCAUAUAAGCUAAUGCUUUUGAAGUUUACUGCAUGCCAGGUAUUGUUCAAUACAUCCUAUGCCUUAACUUUUUAAGUGAAAUAAAUGAGGCAGAUGCUUUUAUUAUUACUGUCACUUUACCAACAGGAAAACUGGAACAAGAAGUUUAAGUAACCUGAGCAAAAUUACAUGGAUAAUAAAUGGUAGAGCUAGGAUCAGAAUAUAAAAAGUCUGCCUUACUCUUAAUGAGUUUGGUUUUGAAUCUAAUAGUGUGUUUACUGGACCUACCGCUACUAUCCUUAUUUGGACCUCAUGGUCAUAUUUUUGAAAUCUCUCCAGGAAUCGCUUCUGUAAUUAAAUAAGCUCCAAAAAAUUUUUCAACAAAACCCCACCUGAGAAUAGUAUCUAUAACUACCUCAAAAUAUAGGAACAGUAUCUUAGGAAAGAGCUAGUCAUUUAAUAAUCACAUACACCCUGUGCAUAUAUGUAGCUGUUAUUUAUUUAUUUUCAAAAGGUUUGGAGCAUAGACAUAUAAUAGAUAGAAAUCAUUAUUUUAUAUAUCUUAACACCACCUUAAAAUUUGCCAGGUAUAUAUCAUCCUCCCUCUGAAUCUUCAGUUUAUGAGCAUUUGUAACAGUCUUUCUGUAUGUAAUGCAAAACUAGUUACUAGAUUAUGCUACCAUCCUAGUAAUGGGAACAAUACACACUCAGUAACUUGAGUAUUGCUGCUCAGUUUGUGUUGAAAUCCUUAUUUUUUUAGAAAGCAGGGUUUCCAGACAUAGAGCCCUUAAUCACUAACUGUACGAUGCUACGUAUGUUCAACUUCCUUUACAGAGAAUGUGAGAUGAAUUGAAUGAACAGAGUGACAGUAAAUUAAAUGACAUCACACACUCACAAGCUUACUGCUUUUCUCAUCUAUUUCAAUCAUUCUGAUUAAGUGAAGGAGAAUGGGUCAUUGUGCAGGUCCUAUUCUUUAACUUCUCAAACACUUGAUGAUCUCCCACUUAACAAACAGACGUAAGCACAGAGACUUGAAGAGACAAGAGUCCAUAACAGAAUUAAAUGACUUUGUUUCAUUUUGUGUGUGUGUGUGUGUGUGUGUGUGUGUGUGUGUGUGUGUGUGUUUACCGUUACCUUUGUUCUUGGCCUAUAGCACUGAUUUUCCAUUUCUGGUAGUGAUAUAAACUGUACUUUUGAAUUAACUGAAUUAGAAAUUGAGCUGGUUUAAUUAUAAAUUACAAUAAUACACGAAAAUAAAUGGUAUUAAUUAUAAAGCAGGCAUAUAAAUGAACCUGGAGAAGGGAACAAUGAAGCAUCAUGGGUUAACCCAGUGUAAUUAAAGAUGAAAACCUGAAUCCUUCAAGACUUAUACUCUACUUACUCUGUGAUCAGAAAUGGCCAUCUAGGAGUUUUCACUGUGGUACAGUGGGUUAAAAAUCUGAUCGCCACAGUUCAGGUGGCUAUGGAGGCGCAGUUUCGAUCCCCAGCCUGGAGCAGUGGGUUAAAGGAUCCGGUGUAGGUUGCAGCUGUCACAUAGCAUGCACCUGCAGCUUAGAUUCAAAUCCCUGGCCUGGGAACUUCCACAUACCUUGGGUGCCAUAUGCCAUUUAAAAAGAAAAACGAAAAAAGAAAUGGCCAGCCAAAAGCAAUAGUCGUUCCAUCUCUGUGAACAGGAAAUCCUUGCAGGCACACCUGAAGAGAGAUGGGAAUCUGUCCCUCUGGGCAAGGCAUGAGUCAGGGCUGAGUACAGAGCCAGUCUUCAUGUUUUGAAGUUAACUGUGAACAAGGUUUUAUAGAAAUUUACUUUCCCAGCUGCAGAGAAGCUCUUGGAAUUUGAAAAAGUUUUUCCCCAAGGUACUGAAUUGCUUCAAACAUAUUUACUAAAAAUCUGUAUCUUUAUCAACUCGUUCCUUGUUCUUAGAUUUAUUCUGAACUCACAAAACAAAAUCUAUAGGAAAUAAUGUUUUAUAAAUCAAUCUUUGAAUACCAGUGUGAUCCUGUGGGGAAUGAGCAACAAUACUAUUGGGUAUUUCAUUCCAACUUCAUGACUCAAAAGUAUCUCCAGAAAAUAUUAGCCUACCUAACUGUCUACACAUGAAAUUAAGCAUUUACAAACCUCAAAAACAGGUCUGCAUCUAUACAUCAAAAAGAAGCAGAGAGGCCAAUGAGAUUUCACAGAAAUCUAGUCAUAGAUCAUUACUUUCAAGCUAUGUGUAAUCACUCCUUUAUUGACCCCUAUCUUCAUUCAUGAAUGUCUGCAGUAUUAGGUUUAUGCUACAGGGCAUAUAAAAAGAGAAGGGAUGCCUGCUCUCAAAGACUUAGAUCUAAAGAUCUAAAUUAAUAUAUUGGAUCCUUAAAAGUGAAUAUAUAAACUAUGGAUUAAGGAGGCAGUAGUAGACGCUUGACUUCAUGUUCUCACAGAUAGGCCUUUUGGAAUUAAUUCUAUGACAUGGGCCUCCUCACUUGUGAACUGUCAAAGAAACAGCCAGAAAGUUCAUCUAAGCCUGACUUCUUAGAUGCCAAGUGUCUCUAGAAUGCUACUGGAAACCAACAACUGAAGAGGCUGAAAAUCAUCUGGGAUGGAGUGGAUUAACAUUUUGUAGCUUUCUCCCUGCACGUCCCUGCAGAUUACAUUGAUCAUUCCACUGUAUGCUCCAACCCCCUCAACUCGCAUCCCCCUCUCCUUGGCUCUUUUGAAUUAAGAAUCCUAUCCAGCUGCACAUUCCCAGGGGGAGGAGCUCGAGACAGCUCAGUGCACUUCCUAGAUCUACAGCUUGCUCAUUUUAGAAAGUGUGUUUCCAUAUGGAGUCACAGCAGAAGCAUCUGUGUUUACCUAGGUUUUUUUCAAUCUUUGUAAAAGGGAGAAGAUGGACACAAAUAUACAUAACUGAAGAGAGAGAGAAGGAGGCUGAGGAGGAAUAAAAUAGGAGUCCUGCCACGGCUGAUUCUGAACCAGGAUGGAAACUGGAGCCCUGGCUCUGGUGUAGGAUACCCACUCAUAAAGGAGGUGCAGAGCCAAAGGUCUUUGCAGCAGAAAGAGGUGUAAGCUGUGAGAAGGAGGUAUUAAGUGACAGCCACAUCAGCCCCAAACGUUACACAUUGGGAGAUAUUCAAAAGAUGAUUCUAGUUUACUUUUCCCAAGUAUUUUAAAUGAAUUAAGCCAAGGCAUAAGGUCUACAUGCAGAAUCCACAAGCUCUUCUCUGUGGCACAAUGGCUGAGGACCACUGUCCUGGCCUGCAUGAUGCUCCCACCUCCUGAUGUGUCCCACUCAACUUGGUCCUUCCCCUGCACUGGCUUCACUAACAGAAAAGAACACUGAAUUAUGCUCAUUUGGAACACUUCAUGCCCUGUGGCCUCUUCCAGGACUGAAAAUGAAUACCUCACAAACACGUUUAGAUAAAAAAGAAAAGCAUAUUUACAUUAUUCCUUUCAGAAUAUAGUUAUUCUCCUCCUGGUUACAAAAGGAUGCCUUUAGUUAGCUAUUCUAAAAUCUAAGAGUGAACACACCAUCUUAUUUUUUUAAAUAUGAAAUCUUAUGUCAUAGGAAUACCGUACAUCACUUGAAUUUAUUUAACAAAGUGAAUUUUUCUUGGCAUAAUGUGCUAUGCAAAACAGUUUCUUUUCAACAACCAAAGGAACAAAAUGAAACUAAAUUUGAAGAAAUUAACAAAACCAAGGAGGAAGUAAUGUUAUUAAGUCUCUGGGGUUUUUGGUGGUUUUUGUUUUCUUGAGCUUAAUUGUUUGUUUGUUUUUUGGCCUUGCCUGCCUGUGGCAUGCGGAAAUUCCAGGGCUGGGGAUCAAAUCCAUGCCAUGGCAGUGAUGAUGCCAGCAUCUUAAUCCACUGAGCUACCAGGGAA
rnacentral:lncRNA from 1 species